UACGGGGGGGGCAAGCGUUGUUCGGAAUUACUGGGCGUAAAGGGCUCGUAGGCGGCCAACUAAGUCGGAUGUGAAAUCCCCAGGCUUAACCUGGGAACUGCAUCCGAUACUGGAUGGCUUGAAUCCGGGAGAGGGAUGCAGAAUUCCAGGUGUAGCGGUGAAAUGCGUAGAUAUCUGCAGGAACACCCGUGGCGAAAGCGGCGCGCUGGACCACUACUGACGCUGAGGAACGAAAGCUAGGGGAGCAAACAGG
rnacentral:rRNA from 1 species